rnacentral:rRNA from 1 species
GGUUGAUCCUGCCAGUAGUCAUAUGCUUGUUGAUGAAUGUGGCAAGCGAAAGCAGAUGUGAAAAGCAUUUUGCUAGUCUGCCCGAGGGGGUAGGCGACACCGUCAAAUUGCUCGGACGUCCUGCAAAGCUGCUGGUACCGUCUGUCGGGUGAAAGCCCGAUCAGACACCAUGGUGAAAGCCGUGGGUAUGGUGACAAUCCAGCCAGAUAGGGACAAUGAGCAGCCAAGCCCUACCGGUUGCCGUGGCAACUCAUGG